AAUCGAAGCACUCUGUAUGCAUUAUUUGAUCUUAACAACCGCAUGAGGUAAGCUUUACAGCUCUACGCUAUAGAUGCAGAAACCAGGAUUCUGAGAGGGUAAGUUAUUUGUUCACAGUCACACAGACUAAUAAUUGGCAGGGCUGGGAUGUCAAUCUAGGUCAUCCUGACUCCACUGUAUACUCCAGUGUAGGGCUCGAACUCAUGACCCUGAGAUCAAGACCUGAGCUGAGGUCAAGAGUCAGAUGCCUAGCUGAUUGAGCCAUGCGGAUGCCCCCAUUUUAGCCAUUCUGUAUACUGCCCUGAAUCAGAACUGGCUGUCCAAUGUCUUUGAUUUGCUCUUCUCAAGAAUUCGAGAGAAGUUUUGCUCUGGAAAUCCAACACCUUUUUUUUUUUUUUAUAUCCAGUGAUAAACUGUGGCAUGGAGGUAGAGGAUGAAGCCGGGAGAGGGGGGUGGCUCUGAAGCAGAUCAGCUUGAACGAGCAUUGAUUUUGUAAAGCCUGGUGGAUGGUGAGGAAGAGGCGAGCUGACUCAAUGAGGCAGGAGGCUUUUUACAUCAAGUAUAAGGGAACAGAUUUCUCCUCUCCAUGCCAAUAGGAACCCCCUCUGAUCUUCUAACUGGUAAAGUACAAAAUCCAAAAACCUCUUAGCCCUCUGUUUUUCAACCUUGAGUGGUAUUUGGAUCCAUUUCUAAAGGGAAAAAAAAAAUUGUGAAAAC